AAACACCUGCCACCGACUCUCACCACCAUUACCGCUCUUGGUGAUGACCUCCUUUGCGAGAUCUUCCUCCGCCUCCCAUCCCUCCCGAGCCUCGUCAGAGUGGCCCUCGCCUGCCGCACCUUCCUCCAAGCUAUCUGUUCGUCCCCCGCCUUCCGCCGCUGCUUUCAAGCGCUCCACCCGCCCGAACUCCUUGGCUUCUUCAUUCAAUCUAUCUACACCAUCGUCCCUCACUUUGCCCCCCUCCGCAACUGCUCUGACCCCGACAUGUCCGCCGCCGUUCGUGGCUCCGAUCUCUCGCUCACCCGCCUCUCGGAAGACAUCGGUUCCUCUCUCGAGUGGGAUCUAGAGAGCUUCUAUGGACCCUACCUUGUACUCAUCAAUCAGAUCACUGCUCAGAUCGUUGCCUACAACCCCCUGACGCUAACACUUGAUCUCAUCCCCUGGCCGCCCAUUGAGAUCUCCCGCUCCUCCUUCCUUGAGUUCCACAUUAUCUUCUCGGAAGAGGACCAGGGGGUGUUUCGUAUGGUCUGUGUCCAACACCAUCGCCCACAGUUACCACAUGUGGAGGCAUACAUCGCUGUCUUCUCAACAACCACUAGGAAGUGGCAGGUUUUGCCAUGGGUCGAGACCCCGCCGCCGCCACAACCUGAGGAUGAUGAUGACAUUCGCCAUUUUUAUCCUGGUAUGCCAAUGAAAGGAUUCAUUUAUUGGAAACAGACAACUCGAGCCUCUGUAGUCGCUUUCAACACCACGACACUACAAUUCUGUAGAGUGGAUUUGCCGCCGUUAGUGAGAGAGAGAUACUAUAUGCAAUCUAGGUUUGGUCACACCAAGGAUGGGAAGCUCUGUAUGGUUGGCGCAGAUGACUCUGGUGCAAAGAAAGGAAUGCUUAUUGUUUGGGUUUGGAGAGCAGAUGAUGACGGUGUUGAGAAAUGGAUGCUUGAAGAUACUUUUCCACUGAGUAAAUUUGUUGAUGCCACCAAGUCUUCAACAGAGGAUGAUGCGAGAGUUCAGGUUGAGGUGGUUAUCGAUGGCUUUGUGUACCUGUCUAUUAAGUAUGGUGCGCAAGCAGAGUCCCUCCUAUCCCUAUGUCUGGAAACAGCAGAGCUUAACAAUCUACUUGAUGAUGCACGUGCAAGCCGUGCUCAUCCCUACCUCAUGGCGUGGCCUUCUUCUUUGGUGUGCAACAGGCAAACCCGU
rnacentral:rRNA from 1 species